AGGCUGGCGCAGCGAGCUCGGCUGGGCGCCCCGGAACGCGAGGAAUCACUAAUCCUGAAGAAUGCUAUUAUAGUACAGAGUUGAAAUUACAAACAUGGAACUGAAGAAUCCUGCUUUUUAACACCAACUCAGAAGCCUG